CAAUAGCGUAUAUUAAAGUUGUUGCAGUUAAAAAGCUCGUAGUUGGAUUUGUGGCGUACGGUGUGUUCCGGGCACUUGUUGUCUGAGUAACCUGCUGUUGCCAUCCUUGGGUGGAACCUGUGUGGCAUUAGGUUGUCGUGCAGGGGAUGCCCAUCAUUUACUGUGAAAAAAUUAGAGUGUUCAAAGCAGGCUUAUGCCGUUGAAUAUAUUAGCAUGGAAUAAUGAGAUAGGACUUUUUUGCUAUUUUGUUGGUUUGCGCAAAGAGGUAAUGGUCAAUAGGGACAGUUGGGGGUAUUCGUAUUCCAUUGUCAGAGGUGAAAUUCUUGGAUUUUUGGAAGACGAACUACUGCGAAAGCAUUUACCAAGGAUGUUUUCAUUAA
rnacentral:rRNA from 1 species